AUUCUAUAAUGAGGGUAUCUUCGUAAUAGUUCUUUAAACCUUUCCCACAGCUCACACAAGGACUCUUCAUCCAUUUGUUGAAAGGUAGUAACCUCGUUCAUAAACUU
rfam:Gossypium arboreum cultivar AKA8401 contig_8774_7, whole genome shotgun sequence.